UCUUGGGAUCUGUCAACAGCCUGGAUUCUAAGGAGGCAUCAUCAGCAAAACUCUUCAUUGCCACAAGUAACUGACAGUAAUUUCCACACAGCCAGCAUAAAAAUGCAAAAUUGCUGUCAACAGCAGCUGAUUGCAGUCCAAUCCUGUGCCAAAUUGGAGGAGGCACAGGCAGUGCUUCCCCGUUGAUUUUAAUGUAGGAAACAGCUGCAAUAAACUUUGGCCUUGAUGCGAAGGAUAAGAUCAUCCUUUCCCUACAAGUCCCCACAAGGAGUAUCAUGUCAGCUUUUAGGCAUCAAAUCCAGGAUGAUCUUGAAGAAACAGAAGAAAUUGACAGAAGUUUUGAUUCAUCUGACAACAGUGAAUUUAAAGAUCAAGUUGGCGCUGUGCUUGGCCAUGCGGGGAAUGGAACAAAGGACUGCGCACAUAACACUGAGGGGCAUCAGUGUUGAGAGUGGAGGAAACAUUACGACUAUUUCUAAUCAUCUGAUGUCUGCAAGUCAUGUAGUUUAGAUGCCAGCUAUAGGCCAAGAUUCAGGAGUUUGGAGAUUAGCUUAUUUGGUAUCAUGGUGUUGAAUGCUGAGCUGCAGUCAACAAAUAGCAUCUGACAUAACUGUUCAUAUUGUCAGGGUGACAUGCCACAUUCAACAUAAUUCCACGACUAAACUUAUCUUUCCUCUACCCUUUCAGCUUUUCAAUGAACCCUAUAACUCAGCAAUCACUGUUGUUCUGUCGUCCGAGACAUUAUUAUUAAUAUUUGCAAUUUAUGGCAGUAAACUUUGUACUUGAAUGAUCUUGUGGAAUGGUUUUGGCUUGUCUGAUAUUACACUGUGAGUUUGAAGUUUUGGAAAAACUCAGCAUGCUUUGACCUUUGAAAGUAAUGUGUUAUUAACAUCAUCUGCCAGUCACCGAAAGUGUUUUCAGCAGAAUGAAACUUCCUUCUGUUUGGAAGGGAAAAAUAUAAAAAAAGGGACUUUGCUAUAUAUUUAAAGUGCUUAUUUAUUCUAAUUUUUAGAGGUUUGGGGGCUCAAGGGCAUAUAUUGCCUGAACCUCAAUAGCUCCCCAAAGCUAUCUAUUAUUUAUGUAUUCAGCAUGUGUGGUAAUGAUGACAUGGAAACCUGGCUUGUUAUUUUGACUCUGCUAUAGUCAUUCAAGCACAGCACCAAGUGCACUCAAACAGUGGCACUAUUAUGAUAUCAUACCUGGUCCCUGCCAGUACUAGUCACACAGUUAACGUUAAAAACAACAUAUUUUUCCUGGACUUUUUGUUACCUGUGUUUUCUAUUCAAUUUUUGAUGUGAUUAUUGCUAGUGAUUUUAUUUUUUACCAAACUCUACGAUGCCCAUUAUUUUUAAACAGAUUUUAUCUCACAGUCCAGAGUCCAAGGAACAGUAGUAAAAUAAAUGUGAUAUUAGGAAGCAUCUGUAAGAAAAAUCAUUAAAAUUACCAUGCAAAAUCUUUCAUAGCCGCAUAUUAAGAGUCAAAAGUCAAAGUGCUUUAUUGUCCUUGAAAUUCUUACUUGCUGCAGCACCACAAAUAUGUAAAGAAAAAACUCCGUAAACACCACAAUAAACAACAAAAGAGAAGUUAUAAAAGUUUAAAGUUAUAUCAAAAAGCAAGAAAACAAUAAUAGUGCAUAGACAAAAACAAUCAAGUCUAUGCAGUUCGGAACUUAGUUGGAGGUGUUAGUGUUUACUAGCCUAACGGUUGUU